UCUGGGACACUUUCACCAAAGGGUAGACCUGAUGAAUGGAAAGGGUCUCAUAAACAAAUGCCACACCAACACAUGUAGCUUGAAUUUUGUUGAAGAAACAACCAAGCUAUAAACUAGGCAUGCAGCUUAGGGUAGGGGAAAGGAGGAGAUGAUCAGGAGGGACCCCUGAACUAGUGUGGAUCUACAUGACAGUUCAUAGAUGUCAGUGGGUUGCAUCACUCUUCCAUUGAGCUUUCCUCUCCUCCCAUUCAUAACAAUAAAGGCAACAUGAACAAUGCGAAAGCUUUAGUUUGCUCCCAAAAUUCCUUUUCCUUUCUCAAGUUAGAUAUUUUCAUAGAUUUAUCAACACUGUUUUGUGAUAUUGCUUUUGAUGGAACCAUAACUUCUAUCUAAAAUAAGGUUAAACGUCUUAUUAUUU